UAUUUCUCUACAGACCAUGAGAUGACCAUUGCCUACUGGAAUCUUAUUUUUACUGGUCGCUUCAAAUUUUUGGACUUGUGGUGUGAAUUUUUAAAAUCUCAUUAUAAAAGAGCUGGCAAUACCCAAAGACACUUGGAACCUUCUGCUAGAGUUUUUAAAUACGAUUGAUGACACCAUGAGCAAUUAUGAUGAAGAUCAAAUGUUCAGCUAAUGGUACAGGAUGUGGUGUUUGUCAUUCAAGGGAUCUGUUGUUCAGGUUUAGUGAAGAUGUGGUUACAUGUCCUAACUGCUCCUCACACUUUCACUGGUUAUAGCAAGUUCCUGUUAAAGGUUGGAGUACAUUAGGUUAAUGACACUAAGAGGAUAAGUACAAUUCUCUGCUAUUGAAGACUACAUUGAGAAGUUAAUUGUUUGCUGUUUGACUGUACAUUAACUGAAGACUAUAAAGAAUUACUUAACAUUAUUUUAGCAUUUUUGUUUAAUACACA